AAUUGCCCGGGAAGAAUAAUGUUUUCCCCAUUGCAAUGGCAAACGGAAAUGGAACUACGGAGGAGGAAAAAGCCUGGUCUGCCGGUUCUCAUGGGCGCUGGGAUUCGGAUUAGUUUCCAGUUAAAGUGAGAUAUAAAGGAAUGACUGGCGGAUUCAAAGGCUAAUAAGAGAUGAAUGCUGUGCAAAAAACUCUUAAGCUCGUUCCCACCGAUUCCAUGACGGCAAGAAUGCUUUGUUCAGCAGCAGCCAGCUUAUUUUGUAGCUGUUUGGCCGGUUAUUUGAGCUGGGCCAUAGUGCUUAGUGAAUGCCCUUUAACAGCCUUCCGGCAAAUCGGAUCCCAGACAGGAAAAAUCGCCCGAAAUCGGCCCGAUUUUUGUCCGUUCAUCUGCUCGAUCGGUCCGAAAUCGUAUAAGAAAUCGGGCCGAGUUUAGUACAAAAUCGCGCGAAAAUGAAACACUUUUUCGGACGACGAUAAGUUUUUUCAACCAGUUCGAGCAGAUCAAAUGUCAAAACAAACGAACCGUUUCCGGACCGAAACCGAACGAUUUUUGAACCGUUUCUGGGCCGAUUGCCAUAGCGUCCAUCCGAAACGAUUGACCGAUAUCGGACCGAAACCGCACGGUUUUUCGAACCGUUUCUGAGCCGUUUGCCAUAGCGUCCAUCCGAAAAAAGGACCGAUUUCGGACCGAAACCGAACGAAUUUUCGAACCGAUUCUGGGUCGAUUGCCAUUGCAUCCAUCCGAAAAAAGGACCGAUUUCGGACCGAAACCGAACGGUUUUUCGAACCGUUUCUGGGCCGAUUAGCAUUGUUGUCAUUCAUUUAGAUUUUUCGGUUUUUCUUCAUAAAGAAAGGUAUUUAAAUUUAUUUGUUUUUUUUUAUUUUUCUCCUAAUUUAUGCUUUAAAUCAUAACUAGUAUUAAACAUAAUUGUAUAAUUAUAAUAAAAU